rnacentral:rRNA from 1 species
AGCCCUCGGCGGACUGCUCAGUAACACGUGGAUAACCUGCCCUAAGGUGGAGCAUAACCCCGGGAAACUGGGGAUAAUACUCCAUAGGUUAUGGAUGCUGGAAUGCUUCAUAACUCAAAGCUCCGGCGCCUUAGGAUGGAUCUGCGGUCGAUUAGGUUGUUGUUGGGGUAACGGCCCAACAAGCCUGUAAUCGAUACGGGUUGUGGGAGCAAGAGCCCGGAGAUGGAAUCUGAGACACGAUUCCAGGCCCUACGGGGCGCAGCAGGCGCGAAAACUUUACAAUGCAGGAAACUGUGAUAAGGGAACCCCGAGUGCCCGUAUACGCGGGCUGUCCAGGUGUGUAAAAAGCACCUGAAGAAAGGGCCGGGCAAGACCGGUGCCAGCCGCCGCGGUAAUACCGGCGGCUCGAGUGGUGGCCACUU